rnacentral:rRNA from 1 species
GGUCAAGCUACUAAGGGCGCAUGGGGGAUGUCUUGGCGUCGGAAGGCGAUGAAGGGCGUGGAAGUCUGCGAAAAGCCCGGGGGAGCUGACAAACGAGCGUUGAUCCCGGGAUUCCCGAAUCGGCACACGCU